rnacentral:rRNA from 1 species
AGAGUUUGAUCCUGGCUCAGAUUGAACGCUGGCGGCGUGCCUAACACAUGCAAGUCGAGCGGUAACAGGUGUAGCAAUACAUGCUGACGAGCGGCGAACGGGUGAGUAAUGCUUCGGAAUCUGCCCAAUGGUGGGGAAUAACCAGCCGAAAGGUUGGCUAAUACCGCAUAGCACGGGAAGGACAGGGGAAGUCGCAAGGA